rnacentral:rRNA from 1 species
UCAAGUCAUCAUGGCCCUUACGACCAGGGCUACACACGUGCUACAAUGGCGCAUACAAAGAGAAGCGACCUCGCGAGAGCAAGCGGACCUCAUAAAGUGCGUCGUAGUCCGGAUUGGAGUCUGCAACUCGACUCCAUGAAGUCGGAAUCGCUAGUAAUCGUGGAUCAGAAUGCCACGGUGAAUACGUUCCCGGGCCUUGUACACACCGCCCGUCACACCAUGGGAGUGGGUUGCAAAAGAAGUAGGUAGCUUAACCUUCGGGAGGGCGCUUACCACUUUGUGAUUCAUGACUGGGGUGAAGUCGUAACAAGGUAACCGUAGGGGAACCUGCGGUUGGAUCACCUCCUU